GUCUCCGAAGCACAGCCCAAGUGCUGGCAGAUGGGCUGUGCUGUGCCGUGCUGCAGGGCAGCUGUGGCUGCAGGCUUUGACCCCCGGCCCUGAGCGCAGGGCAGCCCGAGGCCAUCCCACCAUGUGACCCAGGGCUCCUGCAGCAAAUCUCUUCCUUUUCCAAAGAAUGAACGUAUGUCGAUGGUGUACACCGAGUGGUCUUGAUACCACUGAAUACCUGAAGAGCUAUGCAUCUAAACAGUUGUCCCCAGAAGAUCUUGAAGGUUCCAACGAUGACCUCUGCUACUGCUUGGAGUGCGUGGUUGAAUACCACAAAGCAAGGGAGAGAUUGCCAAGCUUGCAUCGGGUUUUAUUGGAAUUGGAAACCUCCCGUCUCAUAGCCCACAUUGAAAAAUCCAUGAGAGAAGAAGCUGGAGAAGAUGAUGAGUUGUUUAUAGUGGAUGAGAAUGGAGAGACACAGCUGCCUGUUUAUGUUGGCCCAGAUUUUGAGAAUAACCUGAGAGUGCCACUUCUAGAAAUGCUGAAAUACCCGUAUCUGCUGCUGCAUGAGAAAGUCAGUGAGCUUUGUGUGGAAGUGCUGUGUAGAAUGGAAGAAAGUCACGCCUCCUUUCAGAUUUUUGAGAAAUAUCCAGGAAUUUAUCUAUUUUUGGUACACCCAAAUGAAGUGAUUCGUCGUUGGGCCAUCCUAACAGCAAGGAAUUUAGGGAAGGUUGACAGGGAUGAUUACUAUGACUUACAGGAAGUGUUGACUUGCUUGUUUAAAGUUAUUGAACUGGGGCUUUUUGAGAGUCCAGAUAUUUACAGAUCUUCAGUGAUCGAAAAGGGAAAACUCAUUCUUCUGCCAUCCCAUUUAUAUGAUAAUACCAACUACAAGAACUAUUGGCUGGGCAUUUGUAUGUUGCUAACAGUGCUGGAAGAACAAGCUAUGGACUCCUUGUUACUGGGCCCAGACAAACAGAAUGACUUCAUGCAGUCUAUACUUCACACCAUGGAGAAGGAAGCAGAUGAUGAUUCCACUGACCCCUUCUGGCCAGCGCUGCAUUGUUUCAUGGUUAUUUUGGAUCAGCUUGGAGCUAAAGUAUGGGGUCAGCUUAUUGAUCCUGUCCAGGCCUUUCAAACGAUUAUCAACAGUGUGAGCUAUAACAAUGAAAUAAAGAAUAUACGCAAUAGCUUUGUAAGGACGAAAUCUGAAUCAAAGACAAACUACGAUGAUGAAAUGGUUACUUGCAGUCAGAUUGUAUAUACUUAUAACACAGAAAAGCCUCAAAAGGAUACUGGGUGGAAAACUGCUAUUUGUCCGGACUACUGCCCCAACAUGUAUGAAGAUAUGCAAACACUGGCUAAUGUUCUUCAGUCUGAUAUUGGCAGAGAUAUGCGUGUCCAUGACAGCACUUUUCUGUGGUUCAUCCCUUUUGUUCAGUCACUAAUGGAUCUCAAGGACUUGGGUGUAGCAUAUAUAGUAGAGGUCAUUCACUACCUCUGUUCGGAAAUCAAGGAUAUUCUCAAUGAAAGAAUCCAGCGGUGUGACAAAGUUUCUGAAUUUUUUCUGUUGAUCUUGGUAUCGAUUAUUGAACUACACAGAAACAAAAAGUGCCUGCACUUGCUGUGGAUUAGCUCUCAAGAAUGGGUGGAAGCAGUGGUGAGAUGUGCUAAGCUUCCAGCAAUUGCAUUUACCCGGUGUACUGAAAAAGCAGCUGGCAGCUAUGCAAGAGGUUCAUCGACAGCAUCUUUACAGGCUUCUAACUCUGUGCAGCAUGCUUGUGUGCAGUUGAUACGCAGCCUUCUUAGAGAAGGCUAUCAGAUCGGUCAGCAUGCACUGUGCAAGCAAUAUUUAGACAAACUCAAUCUCCUUCUGCGAGGAAAUCUAUCUUUAGGUUGGCAGCUGAACAUCCAAGAAACUCAGGAAUUACAAGUAUGUUUAAAGCAGGUUAUAAGAAACUUAAAGAGCAGAGCAGUGAAUGUGUCUGUAUCUGUAGAAAACAAUGCAAACUCUACAGCUUUACCCACUGUUUCUUUGAAGCAAGAGAAGAGCACGCCUGGUGAUAAGAUGAGUGUGCAUGGCAGAGAGAAUCUUUGUUCACCAGUUGCCUUCAUAUCAAAGGAAGGUGAGGAUGGACGUUGUCAAGAUAACUCUUUCACAGCCAGAAAUCGUGCCUGGGAAGAGGAUUGUACAGAUUCAUCUAAAAAUUCAAAAUCUUUGACCUCUACAGACUGCCUCUUGGUAAAUAUUAAAAAGGAGCCUAAGGACUUGAUAACUCAGCAGUGCAAAUGCCUGCAGAAAUCAUUUGCAAAAGAAAUGCAUGGGAAAGUUCAGGAAAAUAGGAACAGUGAUCUUAUGUCAGGGAACUGUGAUGUGGGUAAUCAGGGCUUUAAUACAAGUAUUCAGAGUUCAAAUUCUAGAGGAAGUGGAGUGUUGGAAAACAAACGGGAAGCAGAAGCCGUAUCACCAAUGUGUCUGUCUGCUCAGACUAGUGUUGAUUCUCCAGAGGAUGUUUACAGCUCAGAUGUAAAGGGAAGAAAAGUGUCUCCUAGUUCCUCUUCAGAGUUUAAAGAAGAUGCGCAUAGACUUGUGUGUCUGAAAAUGAAGAUGCCCAAUACUGAAGGGCACUCUAGACUAUUAACUCCAAUAGUGGAUUUGAAAAACUGUGGUUCUGCAGCAAGUGCUUCAGAAGCAGAGCAACCUGUGUUUUGCGCUGGUAGUUCGUGUAUGAGGAAAGACUGUUGCAAGCAUCAGGGAGUAAACGCUGUGGGUGAAAAUGAAGACAGAGAAUCGGCAAAUGUUUCAAGGAGUUCUGAAAGUACAUGGGAGAAAAGUGCUUUUCAAUACGGGCUGGUCUCCAAAAUCCAGGAACGAAGAGAGAUGCCACUUGACUGCUUCAGCUUUGCUAAAAAUCAACCUGGCAUGCAAGGAAACAAAGAUAACAGUAUUUUGCUUGCAAAUAUCAGUGACACCGUAGUGCAGAACGUAUCCACCAAAGAUGACUCAAGUUCGUUGUUGAAGUCUGUCCGUCUUAAAGACCAAGAACAGCCUAAUUUAAGAGACCUACUUAAAUGUGACCGUAAAGGUCAAAUUUCAAAGACAUCCUGUACAGUUGCAAAUUCAGUGAGUGGUCACAUUCCAUCUAGCUUUGAAAAUAAGGGAGGUACGUCCAAUGCUGCUCUUCCAGUCAGUCCACUGGCAACCAAAUGUGAAUCAAGUGAAAGGUUGAUAGUGUGCUCAAAAUAUUUCAAGCGAGAAAACGAUUUAGAGGGGAAUGAAGAAGAGUGUUUUGUGAGGAUGGUUUCUGGAGAUAAUACUUUAACAAACUCCCAGCUUGAUAAAGAUCUCAGUAAAUUGUCAUUAGCUGCUUAUGCCAAAAGUGUCAAUUUUCCGUCACAGUCGAGUCAGGAAAGUUCAAUGCAUAAUAAUACAUGUGAUGUUAAAAGGAAAGUGAAAAGUGCUGUAAGAUCCUCCAACAGUGCCCAGAGUAACCUGACUCUCUAUGAUACAGAUAGCCAUGGCAAUAAAACCAUUAUAAUUUUAGACUCUUCUGAUGAAGAAAACAAUGUUACCAUCAAUAAGGAAACAAAAGAAAUUAAUGAAAAUACAUGUCCUGAAAAGCAACCUUUGUCAGAAAUGCAGCAUGAUGUUACACAUAGCAAAUCAGAAUCAAAGAUGCCAAACUCUCCCUUGCCUCUUGAAGACUGUGACUCUCAGUACUUUGAGUUUGAAACAGAAGUUGAUGUAUUUUCAGUUUGGCAAGAUACUCAAGAGUAUAAACAAGACGGGCUUUCAACAUCAGUUGGUAGCAGUCAUUCAGAUGGCUUACUGAAGGAUCACACAAAUGAAUGGGGUUAUGAUACAGAUUAUGUAAGUGAUGAUGCUGUGGAAAAAGAAACAAACGGGACAGGGGAGGAGAUAAACACUUCUCACCAGAAAGAAACUGAUAGUACAGAAGUAACUAAUUCAGCUUUGCAAGAGUUUUCUGCUAAAGAAAAUACAAAAGAUCAAGUGGAGAAUUCUACUGACAAAACUACAGUUGAUAAAGACUUAAUUCAGAAUGCGGAUUUGACUGAACCCAGAGCUUCUACAUCCAAUAUCUCCUUAGCUUCAAAGCUGGCACUGAAGAAAAGUACUCUGAGCCCACGUAAAAAUAUAACUAAAUCUAAGGUAGCAAGAACUAUUCAGAGAAGUCCUAAAGCAACAGCUCUGAAUACAACACAAACUAAAAAACUACUUCAAAGCACGUUAAAAAAAAUUCAGCCUGGCAGGACAACGCCUGCUGUUGUUCCUCCAAAGAAAGCUCGACAGUGUCCUGCACCAACAUCAACAGUGGAAAAGCUUGGUCUGAAAAAGGCACCCCGCAAAGCAUUUGAAUUAUCCCAGCGCUCGUUAGAUAGUGUAGCUGAAUUGCGUAGUUAUGGAAAAGUUGCAGGGAAGGUUGGAGGUGUGCAGAGGGGGAAACUUAAACGAGCUGCUCAUCCGAGUUUAUCUACACAAAUUAACAAAAAAAUGCUAGCUUGCCAAGAACUUCAGUUUUUAAAGCAAACAAGGCUCAGCAAAAGCGUUCGAGUGAAAAAUAUUUCGAGGAGUUCUGAGGAUAGAAGCAAAAAAGCAUCCACAAUGGAUACAAAGUCUGUCAAACAAAAGGCUAAAUGUCUUGAUAAACCAUCUGCUGAAAAGCAAGAAGAAAAAAAACCAGGAGAGACCUUUUAUCCAUCUGUUGAUGAGAGAGAACGUAUCGCCAGCAUCUCUGUGGAGAAGGAGGCUGUGCAAACUACACUUGUCUCUGGUUGUUCAGACUCGAGCAGAGCAAAAGACUGUGAUGUAAUGAUUCCUCCUGCACUUAUGGAUUCAAGUCCGUGUUCUGCUGCAGUUGCUGGAGAUGCUAAAGGUAAACCAGAAGAAGGUUGCAUCGUCCAGCCUGAAUUUGGAAUGGCAACUUCAAAAGAAAAUGAGUGCAAACCAGGUGAAAACGACGAUGAUGAUGAUGAUUUAUUUUUAACUCAGUUAGAUCCUGUGGAUAUGGAAUUGUGUUCACAGGAUGAAGAUGCUGUAGACAGUUCUAUAGCUACUACAAGAACAGAGGAAAUGGAAAUAGAUAGUACUGAAAACCUUCAGCAGAAUGAGCCCUUGACUGUUGUGAAAUGUAAGUUCAAAGACUGUACGGGGAAAGUGGAAAAAAUAGGAGACUGCUGUAGCAAGCAUUCGGCCGCCAAUUCAGAAUCAGAUCACCUGUUUGCUAAGCCUUCUUUGCCACCUAGAAAGCCUUCCACUACUAAAAUUUUCAGCUCAGUAAGUUCUUCACGAAAUGCAGCCUUCAGCAAAGAUCUUGAAGAUGUUGAAAAACAACCACAGGCUUUAAAAAGCAGAGCUAGCGUUGCAAAACCCGCUGUGCUGAGACCACCAAGUGAAAAGGCUGUGCCAACAGGAAAUCAAACAUGCAAGACUCCAGGUUCCAGUAAUAUUCCUCAACCUUGUAUUUCUAAUAACGUUCUCCAACCACGAAAUACACACAUCAACAAUGCUUCAAAUAUUUCCAGACGGCCUGCCCGAGAAGAGCACUGUUCUUCUUUUCUUGGCGCUCAGCAGCACGAUCAUAAUAUUUUUGUUAAGGAGGUUCUGAAAUGGACUUACGAAAUGUUUGCAAACUCCAUGCAGUUUGGACCUCCAAAUACUCUCGUACAAUCUGUAGUCGCCUCUGUUCCCAUCAGAUUUCAGGGAUACAAUGACUAUUUUAAUACGUUUUUCCCCUUGAUGAUGCUAAACGCCUUUGAAACACUGGCACAAGAGUGGGUAGAAAACCAGAAGAUGAAAGACAGGACUUACUACUUGUACUUACAGAACUUCUGUGCGGAUUUGAAUACGGCAGAGUUUAUAGCUUAUUUUGAGGAGAACGAUUUGACAAAGCAGCUCCAUCCAAAGGAGGAUGACUUAAUCUUUCUGGUGGGCCAGAAGAAGAAGGAUGCCUUUGGGGAAGACAGCGAGGUGGAGGAGCACCUGGUGAAUCACGUUGGUCUUGUGAGGAGAUUUUCUCGUGCGUCUGGCUGCUUAACGAGACAAAUAGAGCAGCAUAUUGUCUGUCAUCUUUCUGUACAAACUCGAGGAAAUUUGUCAUUCUUCAUAAAUAAUCAAGUGAAGUGUGUGGUGGUUGGCUCCUUAGUGCCCACACAGCGAUCAUUCAAAGGUCUGCUACUGCUGAGCAGGAGUCCCUUGGCUAAACCCAUCAUAAAUCCAAGUUACAGUGAUUUCUGUCCAAGAGAUUUGCCUGUAGCUUCAGAAAAUGCUGCGUUUUCUAUGAAUGAAUACAACGAAGAUCAGAAGAGAGCCAUUGAAACAGCUUAUGCUAUGGUAAAGCAACAUCCAGGGCUUGCCAAAAUCUGUCUUAUCCAUGGGCCACCUGGAACUGGGAAGUCCAAAACUAUAGUUGGACUUUUGUCUCGUGUUUUGAGUGAGAACAUUAGGAAUGAGAAAACAAAUAAAAAAAACGCCAGGAUGAAGCAGAACCGUUUCCUGGUUUGCGCCCCAUCCAAUGCUGCCGUUGAUGAGCUCAUGAAAAAGAUCAUCAUUGCAUUUAAGGAAAAAUGCCAAAACAAGCAGGAGCCUUUGGGAAACUGCGGUGAUGUCAAAUUAGUGCGACUGGGUGCUGAAAGAUCAAUCAACAGUGAAGUCCGGGCUUUUAGCCUGGAUAAACAAGUUGAACAUAGAAUGAAACGAAAGCCAACUGACCGGGACCAGGACAUUCAGAAGAAAAAAGCAGCUCUGGAUGAGAAGCUGGACAUGCUGUCUCGUCAGCGUGCCAUGCACAGAUGUGAGAAGAGGGAGAGUCAAAUGCUAGAUGAUGAAAUUGGCAGACUUUCAAAGGAGAGACAGCAACUUGCUUCUCAGCUGAAAGAGGUUCGGGGACACUCUCAGAAGGUACAGACAGAUAUCAUCUUGGAGUCUGAUAUAAUCUGCUGCACACUGAGCACAAGCGGAGGAGGGCUGCUGGAAUCUGCUUUCUGGCGGCAAGGACCUUUCAGCUGUGUCAUUGUGGAUGAGGCAGGGCAGUCCUGUGAAGUUGAAACACUGAUUCCACUGAUUCAUCGCUGUAAUAAACUUGUCCUUGUUGGAGAUCCCAGGCAGCUCCCUCCCACUAUAAAAUCAAUAAAAGCUCAGGAAUAUGGCUAUGGUCAGUCCUUAAUGGCACGCCUGCAGAGACACCUGGAAGAACAAGUGCAGAAUAAUCUUCUGCGACGUCUGCCAGUGGUGCAGCUGACCGUGCAGUACCGAAUGCACCCUGACAUCUGCCUUUUCCCAUCCAGUUAUGUUUAUGGCAGGACUCUAAAGACUGACAAAGCAACAGAAGAGAACAGAUGUUCUUCGGAGUGGCCAUUCCAGCCCUAUCUUGUUUUUGAUGUAGGAGAUGGCCGUGAGGAGCGUGACAAAGACUCUUUCAGUAAUCCCCAAGAAGUGAAACUGGUGUUAGAAAUAAUUAAAACAAUUAAAGAAAAGAGGAAGGAUCUGGGUCUUCGUCGCAUUGGGAUAAUUACACCUUACAGUGCACAGAAAAAGAAAAUUCAAGAGGAACUCGACAGAGUGUUCAAGAAUAACAGCCCAGGAGAAGUGGAUACAGUGGAUGCAUUUCAGGGACGAGAGAAGGAUUGCAUCAUAGUGACGUGUGUCCGGGCACACAGCUCCAAAGGCUCCAUUGGGUUUCUGGCAAGUCUUCAGCGUUUGAAUGUUACAAUUACCCGAGCCAGAUUCAGCCUCUUCAUCCUUGGAAGACUGAAAACACUCAUGGAGAAUAAAGACUGGAACAAGUUGAUUCAGGACGCUCAGAGAAGAGGUGCAAUUAUCAAGACAUCAGACAAAAGCUACAAGAAAGAUGCCCUUAAGAUUCUGAAGCUCAAACAAAUGCCACAGAAUCCCCUGUGCCAGCUUCCCACCAAAGCAGGGACAACGAAAGCUCCUCUGGCACAGGCAACUUCUGGUAGGAAGGUGGGUGAGCCUGCAAAUCCAAGGGAGGCCAGCAGACCACGGGAACUUGCUGCUGGUCCUGGCCAUGCAGUGCCACAUGGAAGCAGAAUGUCCCAGCAGCCACAGGGAACUCAGGUUGCAGACUCCCGGAGAUCCAGCAUCUCUGCACCAGUGGGGGCAGCAGCACUCCCUGCUGAUAAAGAGAAACCGCGCGACCCAAGGCUGGCAAGUAUAGCCAGCAGAACUGGAGCUAAAGGGAAGGAGCAGGACCCAAAACACAGCAGUCAGUCAGCCCAGAGCAGUCGAGAAUCAACGCUGCAGCAGCGUCUGGAUGUGUCCUCAGCUGCCAGGGACCUGAUUUCCAGAACGGAGCCUUCUAGGAAGCACCAACAAGCAAAGGGCCAGUGUGAGGUGCCUUCCACAUUGCCUUAUGCAGCUAAACUAGAGGGCGACAGGAGAGCUCCGUUGCCAGAACACCAUUCAACAGCCAGCAGUGAACGAGGUCAAGGUAGUAGCAGUAAGUGGAACAAAGACCCACGUACUUCAAUGAGGAGAACAUCAGAGUCAUCAUCAGUGAGCACAGACUCCAGCAGUGCCAAGCGAAGAAGGACCUCUCACUGACUUCAGUACUUCAGUGUUGGCUCGUUACUGAGACUCUAUUCCCAGGUUUCUAUCUAACAAAGAAAUAUUUUAAAAUAUUUAGUGCACCUGGAGCUCUCUUACAGUAAUACUGCUACUGUCAGAAGAUCCAUCAUUUGAAAUGUCUCGACUUACAAAAGGGACUGUGCAUCUGGCAGUUGAGAGCUUUUGAAGAGAGAAGUUGGAGAGUUGCAUUACUUGGAAUGGCAGUGAAUUUUGUCAUCUAGGAAGUUAAGGAACAGAAGAGCUUUCGUUUAUAUAGAUGUGCCUUGAGUUUUGCUCUUGCUGCUUCGUCAGCUGGGAUCCUUUUCCUCUUGCAGUGGCAGUACAAACUGCAGGUUAAAGCCUGGGAGGUCUGUUUGAACCCAGUGAGUCCUUGUGAUGAAUAAUCAACAGGACUGUGGAAUCUGAGUCAAAGAUCUAGUUAACACUUACUGAUAAUGACACUUAAGUUUCUUUGUAUGUUGCUCUUGGAGAUCCAGAGAUAAAAAAGGAGAAGCGUUCAUUCUAAGUGUUAUUACUGGAUUCUUUUCACUGUGUCGAUGAAGAAGUAACCAGUAAAAUGAGGUUGCAGGGGGGAAGAAAUACCUAUUUUUAAGAAAGCAUCCUGUCAUCAUUAACAUUUCACAAUAAAAGUGGAAUUAUUUCUCUUAAGAAUGAAGUAUUAAUUCUUCUGGAAUACACUGCGUCUGUCUUAAGCAAGUGAACAGUAAUGUUUGCUAUGCAUGCGGAUUUGCAUGGAGGUAGCCUUGCAUGCUUCUGCCCAAGAGCUUGGCACCUUGCUGCAGUAACUUGAGGUAGGGGUUUUGCUUGCAAGCCAGGUUGCUAUCUCCAGGCUCUUGUGUUCAAAUUCAGUGCUUUAUGAACCAGGUUGGUAUCGUGCCAUCCCUUUCUGACUCUGACUUGAGAAGGGCUGUUUGUGCUGUGACUGCUGGGGCCUGAUGAGAUCUGAGACCUACAAAGAAACCGAUGUUAUCUUUGUGAGUGAGCUCUGGUAAGUGAAUCUUGCACCUGAAAUGGAAGCAUUGUCACAUGGUUGGGGGCAGGUCCUGGUAGGGUGAAGUUCUGAAAACCAUGCACUUAUAACCAGUAAGUGGGGAUGCUUUUGGUUCCAAAAUGUCCAUGGCUUUUCCUGAGCAAAUGAACUGCUGGGUUUCUCUGGCCAGAGUUUAACCAUCAUCUUGUUUCUGUUUCUGCCCUGACACAUUGAUUGCAGUGAUUAGUGCUACCUUUGUUCUUUUAUCCCACUGCCAGAGUGGUGUGUGUGAUCCAGUCCAGUGACACACAAGUGGCUUACUGAACAAAAGGGUGUAGCAGUUCAGUGGUGAUUGAUGCUGGGAUAGUUUGCACGCUUGAUGUAUCCAAGCUCAGAAAAAUGUGCUUUAGUAGCAACAACUGCAUUGUAGGUGUGUUGGGAGACUGUUAGUCACUGUGCCUGUCCUGUUCAUUGUGCUAUAUUUAAGAUAACAGGAGAAUUCUGUCCUUUGGGAUGCCUGUGAAGUGAAAGCAGAGUAUGCAUGGUGUUCACCUUCAGUCGUUCUCCGUGUUGCAAUCUUAACUGUUGCAGUGAACCCCGACCUUUUCUUCUCAGCACUGUGCGCUUCUACCACUGCUGUCACUCUUGUUGCACGUAGGGUGAGAACGAAGGCUGCUUGUUUUACUGCUGUGAACUGGGCAGUUCUGUCACUCCCAUGUUACAGAUGGUGCACAGGGAUGGAUUCUCCCUCUAAGUCAACAGGAACACUUAAAAUACCUUUGUCUUUUAAACCCUUUGGCUCUACUUGCCAGGGCUGUGUUGACCUGUCUUCUGCUUUUUCACACAUUAAAAAGGCUACUGUUCUGCAAGCUGCUGAAAGACCCUAUAGCUGUGGAAGCUGUGAAGUCUGUCUUUCUGUAAAUAAAACAAAGCUGGCAGCAGUGUGAAUGAGAGGAUGCUUUUCUGGCCAUUAAGUAGAAGUUUGUCAAGGGAAUUUUCUCUUCAGGCUUCUCUGCUUGUUUUCUUUCUGCUCAAGCAUUCUGCAUUUCAGAGCAUGUUUUCUUCUCAGACUGUACUUACUCCGUGCUGGAAGGAAUUUUGUUUUAACGUUGCCUUUUCUCUUGUAUUAUGUACACAUAUAAGCCAUGUAAUUUUAUAAUUUGUGUUCUUCCAUAAAUCGUCUUUGAGGUGUGGUCAGUGGCUGAGGCAUUUUUCUUAUUUAAAACUAGGUUUAUUUUUGUCUGAUAUAAAUUCACAGCAUCACAGAAUUGCAGAGGUUGGAAGAAACCUCAAGAGAUCAUCAAGUGCAGCCCCCCAAACUGUUGAUCUUUCAGCAGAAGCUUUUCCUCCCGUUGUCAGUCUGUGCCAUUAAGGGUACAUCUGGAAUGAAAUUGUGUGCUUGGCAGCUGAAUUCUCAGCACAAAGAAGUUCCUGGUGUGAUGCUGUUGGUCCUUGACUCCAUAGAGAAGGGAAAAUCCCUUGUGUGAGCACAGGGCUGUUUUCAAAGGUUUCUGUCUCGCUAAUCCUUUGGUUGUACGUAAAGCAGCCUCUCCAGCAGAGGUGAAGUGUAACU